rnacentral:rRNA from 1 species
GAUGAACGCUAGCGGGAGGCCUAACACAUGCAAGCCGAGCGGUAGAGAUCUUUCGGGAUCUUGAGAGCGGCGUACGGGUGCGGAACACGUGUGCAACCUGCCUUUAUCUGGGGGAUAGCCUUUCGAAAGGAAGAUUAAUACCCCAUAGUAUACUGAAUGGCAUCAUUCGGUAUUGAAAACUCCGGUGGAUAGAGAUGGGCACGCGCAAGAUUAGAUAGUUGGUGAGGUAACGGCUCACCAAGUCUACGAUCUUUAGGGGGCCUGAGAGGGUGAUCCCCCACACUGGUACUGAGACACGGACCAGACUUCUACGGGAGGCAGCAGUGAGGAAUAUUGGACAAUGGGUGAGAGCCUGAUCCAGCCAUCCCGCGUGAAGGACGACGGCCCUAUGGGUUGUAAACUUCUUUUGUAUAGGGAUAAACCUACCCUCGUGAGGGUAGCUGAAGGUACUAUACGAAUAAGCACCGGCUAACUCCGUGCCAGCAGCCGCGGUAAUACGGAGGGUGCAAGCGUUAUCCGGAUUUAUUGGGUUUAAAGGGUCCGUANGCGGAUCUGUAAGUCAGUGGUGAAAUCUCACAGCUUAACUGUGAAACUGCCAUUGAUACUGCAGGUCUUGAGUGNUGUUGAAGUA